UACGAAGGGUGCAAACGUUGCUCGGAAUCAUUGGGCGUAAAGCGCACGUAGGCGGCUUUCUAAGUCGGAUGUGAAAUCCCUCGGCUCAACCGAGGACGUGCAUCCGAAACUGGAAGGCUCGAGUAUGGAAGAGGGUCGCGGAAUUCUCGGUGUAGAGGUGAAAUUCGUAGAUAUCGAGAGGAACACCGGUGGCGAAGGCGGCCAACUGGACGAAUACUGACGCUGAGGCGCGAAAGCUAGGGGAGCAAACGGG
rnacentral:rRNA from 1 species